UACGGAGGGUGCAAGCGUUAUCCGGAAUCACUGGGUUUAAAGGGUGCGUAGGCGGCUUGGUAAGUCAGAGGUGAAAGCCCGCAGCUUAACUGCGGAACUGCCUUUGAUACUGCCGAGCUUGAAAGAGGUUGAGGUCAGCGGAACUUGACGUGUAGCGGUGAAAUGCAUAGAUAUGUCACAGAACACCAAUUGCGAAGGCAGCUGGCUGGGCCUACUUUGACGCUGAGGCACGAAAGCGUGGGGAGCGAACACG
rnacentral:rRNA from 1 species